rnacentral:rRNA from 1 species
GAACUGAAGAGUUUGAUCAUGGCUCAGAUUGAACGCUGGCGGCAGGCCUAACACAUGCAAGUCGAGCGGAUGAAGGGRGCUUGCUCCUGGAUUCAGCGGCGGACGGGUGAGUAAUGCCUAGGAAUCUGCCUGGUAGUGGGGGAUAACGUCCGGAAACGGGCGCUAAUACCGCAUACGUCCUGAGGGAGAAAGUGGGGGAUCUUCGGACCUCACGCUAUCAGAUGAGCCUAGGUCGGAUUAGCUAGUUGGUGGGGUAAAGGCCUACCAAGGCGACGAUCCGUAACUGGUCUGAGAGGAUGAUCAGUCACACUGGAACUGAGACACGGUCCAGACUCCUACGGGAGGCAGCAG